rnacentral:misc_RNA from 1 species
AAUCACGAAAUAACGCAUCGGUGACGCGGCGUCCUCUUCCCUACGUAACGUAGACAUCUUGCGUGUGUUUGUGUGCGUGUGUGUGUGUGUGUGUGUGUGUGUGUUGCGCUCUGUUGUUUUGUUUUGUUUCUGUCGUGUUUCGGACUGUCGUCUCCCCUACCUCUCUCCUGGUCCUCCAUACCGACUCCGUUUCUUGUGCUCGUCUCCGCUGUCCCGCCUCCUCCCCUUCUACAUUCUGCAACCUCUCCGCGCCGACGGCUUCGUGAUCAGUGUCUCUUUCGUGUCCCUGUUUCGUGUCCUUCUCAAGCUGCACAGGCGCCUGCCGCGGCUUCUUCCCGUCCCGAAAGCAGAACGAAGCGGAAAGGACGCGGAGGCGGCACUCGUUCGUUGUCGCUUGCAGCUGACUUGUCGCUGCUACCCUUGCUCUCUCUCUCCAUUCCCGCGCACCGCGUGCGUGCGUGCGUGAGGCAGAGCUCGCUCGCUGCUGGUCGAUUAUUUACUUACUCUUAGAAUCAUUCAGAGAUCGCACAGAGACGUGUAGACGUGUCUGUCUACCCGUCUGUGUGUGUGUGUGUGUGUGUGUGUGUGUGUGUGUGCGUGCCGGUGGCAGUCGUGGUGCUCGGAAAGGAGAAGACGAAGGCGGAACGAAAAACUUCGUAGGCGUCCAUCGUUCGUUCCCGUCGAUACACCGGUGCUUCGAUAGAGUGAGAGAUUCGGUGCCGUCCAAGCGCUCACCCUCGCCUCCACGGCACAUCUGCCUCACCACGCACGUCGCCCUCUCCGCUCUCCCCGCACACGAAAAAGUUUUGUGUAGAGAGUGGGGGGGUCAUCGCGAAGGAAGAAGGCGACGCCCAUCGGAGGUGCGUGUCUUCUCUGUAAUUACAGAACAACAGACAAGUAGAGAAGCACACGGAAUCACAGAUACGCGCGUCGUCGGCGAACCAACAGAAGACGGAAAGGGCGGAUCCACACACGCACAUACAGGGAGCAGAUCAGACGACACGGUGGUGCCUGUCGCCGUCUUGGUUGAUUGGAUCAGUGAAGAUAGGCGGGGGAACACAAAAAAAGGUCCAAGUGACACGUAGUGGGCGCGUAUAGCUCGAAGAUCCAGCGGACGAUUCAGGCAGAAGCCGCACGAAAAGGGUUUGCUCACCGUCCCUCUCUGUCUCUGUCUUUGUCUGUCUGUGUCUCCGCGUAUUGUUCUUGUGCGGAUCUGUGGAGUCAGCACCUCUCUUCGUCUUUGUCUUCGUCAUCACCCCUCCCCUCCCCCCUCUUUCCCCCGGCCGUUUCCCCUGGCAUCGUUGCUGUCUGUGUGUUAGGCGUGCAUCACACCUGUGCUGCGGCAGCGCGUCACCCAUCUCCUCUCCUCACGCACGAGUAUCCCAGCAUCACUAUCACCCCUUUUUUAUCCCUUCUUUUUUCCUCAUCAUUUCUCGUCCUCAGUGCCCACCCCUCCCCACCCCCUCCAUCACGAGACACACACACAUACACACACACCUCGCUCUCGCUUCUCUCUUCCUUUGAUCGCUGCCGUGGUGAGUGUUGCAUUCUCUGUGCCUCCCCUUCAUCCGUCCUCCCCCUCCCCCUCUUCAGACAUCUUUCUUCUUUUCUUCGGGGUGGUGGUUGCUCGCUCUCGUCUCCCUCACGUGCACCAUAUCAAGUGUGUUCCUUAAUACGCUUCUCUCCCGUGCCUGCGUGCGUCUGGAACUAAGCAACUGUGUGUGUGUGUGUGUGUGUGUGUGCCUGCACCUCAUCUCCGCCGUCCUUCUCCCUACUCAGGUUCGAAAAGCACAGCGCACAGAGGAGGAGGAGGAGGAGGAAGAGGAGCACACAUACGUCUUGGUCGUUUCUCUGUUGUUGUCGCGCGCUUCGACUUUCGCACUCCUAACACCUUCACCCCCUUAGCGUUUAUGAUAUAUCGGUUUCUCUAGGCACGCAGACGAAGCGAUACACGGGAUUGGCUAGAGGGCUCUGUAUCGUCUCUCUCCUCCCUCCCUCCACCCACCCAUCCAUCCAUCCGUCCAUCCAGCUGCCGCGUGAAGGCAUCUGUGUUGUGUUGCUGUUGUUGUCGUCGCUUGCUUCUUUGUUGGUGUCGCUCGGCUCAAGUUUUCCGUACCUCUCUCCUUGCUCGCUCUUCGGUUGCUUCGUAAGUCGCCUUCCUCUCCCUUUUCGUCUCUUCCCCCGUACUCUCGCCGCCGCCGUCGUCGUCGUCGUCGUCGCUUGCGUGUGCGUGUGUGCGCGUCGGCGCGGGAGGCUCGAUUUCCCUUUCGUGUUGUUGUUUGCCACCGCCACCCCUCAUCUCAUCCCUGUCCACAAGUUUGUGCAGCUCCCUUCACCUUCACCUGUGCAUCUGUGCUUGUGUCUCGCAUCAUCUUCAGCGCGAUGUUCGCCCAAUCCGAGAGCGAAGAGCUGCUGCAUCUGCUGUCGCAGGUGCGCCUCGUGGCGGACGAGGAAGAGCGUAACGAGCAAGAGCAGCAUCAGCAAGAAAAACUGGAGCAGCGGCAUCGCCCAAGCGUCGACGGUGAGCACACGAUGCCGGUGUAUACUUCUGCUGCCGGCGCGACAGCGAAGGUACUUGACAAGCAGAUAAGCAACGGCAGCUCGGCGAGCAUCGCCAGCGGCGGCGGCGGCUCUGCUGCAGGACGAUAUACCGCCUCCUCCACCGCGGCCGUCACGAGCAGCUGGACUGUGCAUGACAAUACGGACAGCACCUUUGGCAUCAACACCGCAGCGGCGAGCAACAGCUUUCUCGCCGACUACGAGCACCACCGCGCGAACCCGUUUGACCAGCCGCCCGUGACUCGCACCCCGGCCACAGACGUGAAGGUGCUGCUGCAGCCGUCGGACGAGCGUGCAAGGUGCAUCGAGGUGGACAUGGCCAGCCGAGGCGACGGCUACAACGUAUUCCGGCAGCCGAAGCAGCUCCUCUUCGCCUCCCCAUCAGCAGCGGCUCAGGUAGUGACUGUGCAGCAGCAGCAGCAGCAGCAGCAGCAGCGGCGGCGUCUCGAGCAGCUGCAGCAGCAGAGACCAUUGUCACUAGUGACGCACGCGCGCCAGUCCAUGCCCUCCCCCCACGCGUACAACGUUUACACCGCAUCCGUGAGCACGGCAACCAGAACGACGACACCGCGCUCGAUCGACGAUGCAGCGCCGAUCUUGCCGGUUGCGGUCGAGCGCGAAGGCAGCGGCUACCGCGGUGCUGCGGCCGAUAGUGCGAUACUUCGAGACACCCCCUCACCAGCUGUCACCUCAUCGGCACCAUCCGCCUACACCAAGCGUGAUGGCAAGACGGUGGCGGAAGUAGUGCUAGAGGGCAUCUCGGACUUUGCAGCUGUGAUACAGAAUGAUGGUUUCGACGGGGAUUGCGAGGAGGAAUUUGGCCGCACCAGUGGUGGCGGGGGUGGCGGUGACCGGCUAUCGGAUGUCUGGACGCCCGCGCGCAGUAUCGGCACGCCGCAGUCAGCGCUAGAUGGCUCUAACCGAUCGCUGCGCCUGUUUCACCUGCAGCAGCAGCAGCAGUCGCAUCAACACCUUCACCAGCACCACACCACCCCAUCUUCUCCGUCCUCCGCGGCUGAGGCUGCUGUCGCGCAGUUCUUUCGUGUAAGCAGCAGUGUCGAUGUCAUGGACAACGGUGGCCUCGACAGUGCGUGGCGAGCGAGUGUUGAGGCGGAGCUCGCGGAGCUCCAGCGCGGUGGACGACUGUCCAUGAACAGCGCGGUGGUGCAGGGAACGCCGAUAUCGACGGUCUCGCCGCUUCCACCAACGUCGACUACACCGUAUCACCAGCUGCUCAGCCAACUGCGGCACAGCCCGUCACAAGUGCCGGCGAGUGGGCUUGGGCCUGCCAACACUGCCUUCACGGGCAGAGCGGCGCACGCGAAUACGCCGCCGGACCGACCCCCGCCAUCAUCAUCCUCACGCCUGGCCAGCAUGGGGCCGACGCCGCUCUACACAACCCACAUCACGAGCAUACCGCGAGCUUCCUCCUCCGCUGCAGCCGCUGGCGCAUCGACGGAGCAGGGCCGCAGCUGCUGGCCGCGCUCCAGCCUCACCCCGUCCGAGGCGGCAGCUUUGUGGGAGCGCCUAAGUCCGUAUGAGAGGGCCGCCGCAGCAGCAGCAGCAGCGGCAAGCUCGAACGCAGCCUCCGUCGCCGCAGCCGCGGCGCUGCUCCGCACCCCUGACACGGUUUCGAAGCCAGUCACGCUCUCCUCGAUUGCUGCACACCUUCACAGCGGUGUUGGCGAUCUGGGUAGCUCGGACGAAAUGGGCGGAGCGCACGCGCACGCGGACAAUCCUUCUCGCACCUAUGCGUCCCCGCCAACGUUUACCACGGCCCCGAUGCGGGUGCCUCGCCCAGCCAGCGCGGCGCAGCUCUUCCCACCGUCGUCACCAUCUCAGCCCAACUCUGCAUCGCCAGCUACGGCCGGCACAGGCGUCUCGCCGCACCACGGCUGGCAGCAAAGCCACAGCAACCAUCGGCAGGGGCAGUAUUCGCAGACAGCAUCACCUCGCACGAAUGCAACGACGGUGAUGGCCCUGCCACCACCGCCACCGCCACCACCUGCGUCGACGCCGUCACUGGCGACAGCAGCAGCAGCAGCAGCAGGCCCGUACAAAUCCCAGCAGAACCAUUUGCAGACGCCUUCGAUGCGCCGUUGGAGCCCCGUCGACGCACCUCCAUCGACCACCGGUGUCGGCCCAGUCGCCGGUAACGCACACAACACCAACUCACCCCCUUCCUGCAGUCUGCGUCCGUCGCCGCACCCUCGUCCGUCCAACGGCAGCUCGCCGGCGCUGCGGCGAUACACCAUCACCACUCCCAGCAGUCACGCGACGACUGCGACAGCCGCCAACAACAGCACGAACAGUGGCGGCAAGAAGCACGUCGAUGGGAGCCCUCUCGGGGUCAGCGGUGCAUCGGUCGCUGACAAAGGAACGUCGCGCGAGGCGCGGCCACGUGUGCAGCUCUCGCAGACGUCCUGCUCGACUGGCGUCGCUGCCGCGGUCUGCGGCGGUGCUCGUGGGGCCCGCGGCUCGCUGGGCGCAUCUGCACACGGCGCUGGCGGUGGUGCGAGCCCGAGCUCACCGUCAUACCACCACAACCACAGCAAUCACGCCGGUCACCACCUGAACAGCCCCUCGAACUCCGCAGGCGCAACCGCCGGGCCCGGGGCGUCCAUGGUGUCAGCCGCCGCCGUCCAAGCACUCAUCCAGCGCCUACAGGCAGCCGCGGCGAUCGUGCUGCCCAACUCUCCGUCCGCGUCGUCCGCUGUGACGGGUGGCGGGCAGAUGUCUUUCAAGGCUGAGGAAAGCGGCGUCGCCAGCGUCGCCGCCGUGCCCGACGUUGCGUCGGCGCCGAUUAUACUCGCCAUGUCGCACGAUCAACACGGCUGCCGGCUUCUGCAGGCGGUGAUCGACGCCGAGUGCAGCGAGGGCGAAGCGAUUGACGGAGGGCACGACGAGCUCGCGGCAGACGAUGCCGCCGCCGCUGCGAGCCGGGCAGGGGCUGAGCGGGACGGGAGCGCCGCAGUCUCUCCGUCGAUGACAGCCGGGGCGGGUGCUGGAGAGAAGGGUAGCGUUAACGAGCGCCGCCGUCGUCGUCGCGCCGAAGCCUUUGAGAACUCCAUCCCUGUUCGCGUCGUUCUGCGGGCAAUCGAACCCAAGCUGGACGCCGUCAUGGCCGACGGGUACGGCAACUUCCUCCUCCAAAAAGUUUUCGACAUGGCACCUGAUGCGGAGCGCCAACGGCUGCUGCGGCUGCCGUCGCUGCAACAUCACCUGUGCGAGGUCGCCUGCUCUCCCCAUGGCACCUUCGCGGUGCAGCGGCUCGUCGAGACGGUUCGCAACAUGGAAGAGGAGCGCCUCGUUUUCGUCGCUCUGGAGCGUGAUCUGCUGCGCCUGCUGACGAACGCGAACGGGGGUCACGUACUGAUGAAGGUGAUGGAGUGCAUCCGGCGCCAGUAUAACGCCUUGGCAUCUGGCGCGAGCAGUGUGACAGAGCCGUCAUCCGCGUCCAUGGCGGCGCCGGGCGAAAGCAGCACCGCACCAUCACGCCGCCUGCUCGAGGAAAGGGUGGCGACACUUUUUCAGGCGAUUCAGCAGCAUCUGCUGUACGUCUGCCAGCACAAGCAGGGCUGCUGCAUUGUCCAGAAGUGCCUGGACUUCCUCCACGCGUGCGCUGGAUUAUCGCCGUCGUUGCCGUCAUCCUCUGGCGCGGUGGAGCAGAUGGACUACUUUGAACGCAUGGCAGCGCUUCUCCUUCCCCACGUGCAGGAGCUCUCCACUCACCCGUUUGGCAACUACGUCGUGACGCGCCUCGUGGACGUCUGCUACGCGCGCGGGAGCACCGCCACCAUCGACGCCGUGGCGGCCGGCAUGCAGCGGGACUUGGUGCAGAUGUGCACGAACAAGUUUGCAUCAAAUGUGGUUGAGCACAUUCUGCGCCACUGCAGCGAGCGGCGCAUUCGCCUCAUCUGCCAGGCGCUGAUGAUGCCCCUCGCCCACCCCUCUGCACCAGCGGUGUACGCCUCUGCCUCGACAGCGGCGGCCACAAACGCCGCCAUCGCUCGGCUGCCGUUGAUCAUCGUUGUCAUGGACCCCUAUGGCAACUAUGUGAUCCAGACGCUGCUGACGGUGGCGCCGGUGGACGAGCUGGUGAGCACGCGCGCAGAGGGAGGCGGCAUGCUACCCGUGCUUCAGCAGCUUCUCCCGCUGCUCAGCUCACGCAACUACGGCCGGAAGCUGGAGACGAAGACGGAGCUCGCCUUGCUGAGGGUGGAGCAGCACCAACAGCAGCAGAAGCAGCGCCGCAGUUGAUAAAGUUGGUUCUCCUUUUUUUUUUAACAUUUUGCGUGUGUACGUGUGGCCACCGUACCCGGCUGCUGUGCUCAACCGCGAAGGACCGCUCAAACGCUGUGCACAGCUCGACCGGCUAUUUUCUGCACAGGCGCGUCUGAAGGUGCGACGAGGCUCUCGCGCAUGACGCACGCAUCACAGACCCACCCCCACCCCACCCGCCCAACUCUUCAUCUUUUUCUAUUGUCAUCUUCCCCUUCUUGGUUAGAGCUCUUCUCCACGUAUGAAACCUGCAGCGAGCGGGACAAGGUCCGAUAUACGCCUCUCCGCCUCCCCCUGUGUGUGAAUCUCUGUCUGUAUGUGCGUGCGUGUCGCGGGGGAGGGCGGGGGGUGAGCUCCGACAUCUUUCUGUUUCUCUGUUGCCGUGCCGCGAGGCCUAUCACGCGCAUCCAACGUUACCAUAACCAAAAAAGAGCGAAAAAAGAAUGCGGGAGCGGUGUGGCGGAGUGCCAACGUAGAAGACCGGGAAGGAUGGCACACCCACGCACGGUUGCGGAGGCGGUGGGGGCUACUCCGUCCCCGCCGUUCGUUGGUGUAGCGACUCUGUCUUGACUGUGCGCGCCAAGGCAUCGCAUAUAGACGUAUGGCAUACAAGCGAAGACAAGGGGGAGAGAAGGAAGGCGAUGGUGCACGUCUGUCCUCCGCAGCCCCAAAAUACUCUUCUCCUCGGCCCCACCCCUUUCCUUCUCUCGCGCUUCCUCCAUAUGUUUUUUGUUGGCCAACGUUGCUGCGCGUGUGUUUGGGCCCGACACAUGCACGCACGCCCAG